rnacentral:rRNA from 1 species
UAGCGGCGGACGGGUUAGUAACGCGUGGGAACGUACCCUUUUCUACGGAAUAGCCUCGGGAAACUGAGAGUAAUACCGUAUACGCCCUUUGGGGGAAAGAUUUAUCGGAGAAGGAUCGGCCCGCGUUAGAUUAGAUAGUUGGUGGGGUAAUGGCCUACCAAGUCUACGAUCUAUAGCUGGUUUGAGAGGAUGAUCAGCAACACUGGGACUGAGACACGGCCCAGACUCCUACGGGAGGCAGCAGUGGGGAAUCUUAGACAAUGGGCGCAAGCCUGAUCUAGCCAUGCCGCGUGAGUGAAGAAGGCCUUAGGGUCGUAAAGCUCUUUCGCCUGUGAAGAUAAUGACUGUAGCAGGUAAAGAAACCCCGGCUAACUCCGUGCCAGCAGCCGCGGUAAUACGGAGGGGGUUAGCGUUGUUCGGAAUUACUGGGCGUAAAGCGCGCGUAGGCGGACAUUUAAGUCAGAGGUGAAAUCCCAGGGCUCAACCCUGGAACUGCCUUUGAUACUGGGUGUCUUGAGUUCGAGAGAGGUGAGUGGAAUUCCGAGUGUAGAGGUGAAAUUCGUAGAUAUUCGGAGGAACACCAGUGGCGAAGGCGGCUCACUGGCUCGAUACUGACGCUGAGGUGCGAAAGUGUGGGGAGCAAACAGGAUUAGAUACCCUGGUAGUCCACACCGUAAACGAUGAAUGCCAGUCGUCGGGC